GAGAGAUUACUCAAUGGUUAGGAGCACUGGCUGCUCUUCCAGAAGUCCUGAGUUCAAUUCUCAGAACUCACA
rnacentral:tRNA from 1 species